ACUCAAUGAAUUGGAGUUGUCAUUGCAGGUUUGCAGGUCGCAGAUUGCAGAUUGUAUCCGGACUUCGAUGACGAACGCUAUCAUUUAUGGUCUUGCGAGGACACAUAACGUGCCCGUGCUUCAGGCGGAACAGCUGUUCCUUGCUGGGCAACCCUUACAUCCAAGUGAAAGGGAGGAAUUUAAAAGGAAGCUCCAAAAACAACUGCUCCAACAAAGGAGACACUGAGGGAGAUUUUUUGGGUUGCUUUUGGUCUGUAUAAAGUUGAAAUCGUGUGUGUGUGUGUGUUUGUGUGUGUGUGUGUGUGUGUGUGUGUGUGUGUGUGUGUGUGUGUGUGUGUGUGUGUGUGUGUGUGUGUGUGUGUGUGUGUGUGUGUGUGUGUGUGUGUGUGUGUGUGUGUGUGUGUGUGUGUG